CCUGUUUGCCAGAUCAAAGCCCAGUGACCUGAGUGGACUGUCCCCAGCAGAGGCCACUAGUCCCUGUGGACCCACCCCAUUGGGAAAGGCAUGGGUUGAACUUUAACCAUUAGGCUCAGGGGUUGGGAUGAGUUUCUACAAACAGAGGUGGGUACACGCCAGUCCACAGUGGUCCUGAUUAAAGUGAGAACAGACAGCAGGGAACAUCACCCUCUUCAGACUGGAGUCAGUGGGAACAGACCCAAGAUGUUGGGGAGGAACACUUGGAAGACCUCAGCUUUCUCCUUGGUUGAGCAGAUGUGGGCCCCUCUCUGGAGUCGUUCGAUGAGGCCAGGGAGAUGGUGUUCUCAGCGUUCCUGUGCAUGGCAAACCAGCAAUAACACUUGUAAGUAGAGCCUCAAAUUUCCUAAGAUGCGACUGGAUCCUUGUCUUAGCUGAUGGGGUCUUUCGAGAGGAGAGAGGAGAGACCGUCCCGAGCCAGAUGGGUUCAGAUUUCCACUCCGUUUUUUUUUUUUUUUUUAAGAUGGAGUCUCGCUCUGUGGCCCAGGCUGGAGUACAGUGGCGUGAUCUUGGCUCACCACAACCUCCACCUCCCGGGUUCAAGCGAUUCUCCUGCCUCAGCUUCCUGAGUAGCUGGGACUAUAGGCGCAUGCCACCACUCCUGGCUAAUUUUUCGUAUUUUUAGUAGAGACAGGGUUUCACCGUGUUAGACAGGUUGGUCUCGAACUCCUGACCUCGUGAUCCGCCUGUCUCAGCCUCCCAAAGUGCUGGGAUUACAGGCGUCAGCCACGGCGCCCGGCCCUCUUUUUUCUUUUUUUGAUGAAGUUUUGCUCUUUUGCCCAGGCUAGAGUGCAAUGGCAUGAUCUAGGUGGGUACACGCCAGUCCACAGUGGUCCUGAUUAAAGUGAGAACAGACAGCAGGGAACAUCACCCUCUUCAGACUGGAGUCAGUGGGAACAGACCCAAGAUGUUGGGGAGGAACACUUGGAAGACCUCAGCUUUCUCCUUGGUUGAGCAGAUGUGGGCCCCUCUCUGGAGUCGUUCGAUGAGGCCAGGGAGAUGGUGUUCUCAGCGUUCCUGUGCAUGGCAAACCAGCAAUAACACUUGUAAGUAGAGCCUCA
rnacentral:lncRNA from 1 species